AAUGAACGUUGGCGGCAUGGAUUAGGCAUGCAAGUCGCGCGCGAAAUGUAGCAAUACAUGGAGAGCGGCGAAAGGGAGAGGAAUACGUGGGAACCUACCUUCGGGCCUGGAAUAGCGGCGGGAAACUGCCGGUAAUGCCAGAUAACGUCUCCGGACCAAAGGUGUGAUUCCGCCGGAAGAUGGGCCCACGUCCUAUCAGCUAGUUGGUGUGGUAAUGGCGCACCAAGGCUAAAACGGGUAUGGGGUGUGAGAGCAUGCCCCCACUCACUGGGACUGAGACACUGCCCAGACACCUACGGGUGGCUGCAGUCGAGAAUCUUCGGCAAUGAGCGCAAGCUUGACCGAGCGAUGGCGCGUGCGGGAUGAAGGCCUUCGGGUUGUAAACCGCUGUCGUAGGGGAAUAAUGGCCAAGGGGUACUCUUCUUGGUUUGAAUGAUCCUAGGAGGAAGGACGGGCUAAGUUCGUGCCAGCCGCCGCCGUAA
rnacentral:rRNA from 1 species